UACGGGGGGGGCAAGCGUUGUUCGGAAUUACUGGGCGUAAAGGGCUCGUAGGCGCCAACUAAGUCAGACGUGAAAUCCCUCGGCUUAACCGGGGAACUGCGUCUGAUACUGGUUGGCUUGAAUCCGGGAGAGGGAUGUGGAAUUCCAGGUGUAGCGGUGAAAUGCGUAGAUAUCUGGAGGAACACCGGUGGCGAAGGCGGCAUCCUGGACCGGUAUUGACGCUGAGGAGCGAAAGCCAGGGGAGCAAACGGG
rnacentral:rRNA from 1 species